AGCAGCCGCGGUAAUUCCAGCUCCAAUAGCGUAUAUUAAAGUUGCUGCAGUUAAAAAGCUCGUAGUUGAAUUUCGGGAUUCUACCGUCGGUCGGGCUAACAAGUCUGUACUGGUGUGUAGAAUUUCUACCUUCUGAGGAACCAUCAUGUUAUUAAUUUAGCGUGGUGGGAAACCAGGACCUUUACCUUGAAAAAAUUAGAGUGUUCAAAGCAGGCUUACGUCUGAAUACAUUAGCAUGGAAUAAUAGAAUAGGACGGUGGUCCUGUUUUGUUGGUUUCUGAAUUCACCGUGAUGAUUAAUAGGGAUAGUUGGGGGCAUUAGGUAUUCAAUUGUCAGAGGUGAAAUUCUUGGAUUUAUUGAAGUACUAACUUCUGCGAAAGCAUUUGCCAAGGAUGUUUUCAUUAAUCAAGAACGAAGUUAGGGGAUCGAAGACGAUCAGAUACCGUCGUAGUCUUAACCAUAAACUAUGCCGACUAGGGAUCGGACGAUGUUAACCUUAUUGACUCGUUCGCGCCUUACG
rnacentral:rRNA from 1 species